GAAGCAGAACUCUGAGGCUCUCAACGCGGUGGCUGAAAGAAACUAGAAACUAUACGGGGAGCCUUGGCGCUAAGCAUACAUGGACACAGCGACCACAGAAGAGACCUGGACAAGUACAAUUGAGACCUGUAAUCUGGUAUCAGAUAUUUGGGCCAAAGGUGAGGUGCUGAUGGAACCUUCAGAAGUCUGAGGUAAGUAUAUAAGCUGGAUCAAGUACUGUUCCUGAUUUUG